CUACGUUCUGUCUCACGGCAACCAGUCUAUCCGGUGGGAGGGGUCAGGGGUCAGCACACGUGUUCUCGCCGCGCCAAGGGUUCAAAGUCACCCGGACACUCUCUCCUGAUUCUCUAGCGUCUUACCCCGACAACAACACAUCUCAGGAGACAAGAAGGAGCAUGUCGGAGACGGCGAGGGGUCAGCGGGGCGGGCGGCGAGGCCAGGCGGGGCAGGGGGACGACCCGGCCCGCCCACUGCGGCACAACGGCACGGUGUCGGCCGAGGAGCACCUCCCCGCGCCGUUCCUGAAGAAGAAGAGUCGGGAGUGGACCCAGGAGACGGACGUGUACGACGAUGGGACCAUCACCUUCUUCUGGCGAGCUCACACCCUGACCGUGCUGGCUGCCCUGAUCUGUGUGCUUGUUUACGUCACACUUCUGGAGGAAACACCCAACAACAGCGAGUACAACACCAAAAGAGGCCUUGCUUUUGUGGUGAUUGUGUUUCUGGCCUUUGCCGUGACCUACACCCCGGACGGACCCUUCAAAAGGCCACAUCCAAGCAUCUGGAGGCUGGUGCUGUGCCUCAGUGUGGUGUAUGAACUUGGCCUCAUCUUUGUGCUGUUUCAGACUGUGGAUGAUGCCAGGCAGCUGAUGAAGUACCUGGAUGAGUCACUAGGGGAGCCGCUACCUGAGCAGUCGUACGGGGGGAACUGUUUACUGUGGGACCCCGGUCAUCCACAGGGACCGCUACACAACCUCUGGGAAAAAUGUGACAUCUUUGUGCCUGCCCAUUUUCUGGGGUGGUAUGCUAAAGCACUGAUCCUGAGGAAUGUGUGGAUAACGAACGUGAUCAGUGUGAUGUUUGAGUUCCUGGAGUACACACUGGAGCACCAGCUGCCAAACUUCAACGAGUGCUGGUGGGACCAUUGGAUCAUGGAUGUGCUGAUCUGCAACGGCCUGGGGAUCUGGUGUGGCAUGAAAACAGUGGAGUAUCUCAAGAUGAAGCCGUACCACUGGCGAGGUUUGUGGCACAUCCCCACGUACCGCGGGAAGAUGAGACGCAUGGUGGCACAGUUCACGCCCUACAACUGGACAUCCUUCGACUGGAAACCUACCCUCAGUCUUAAACGCUGGCUGGCUGUCUUAGGCAUCAUCGCUAUGUGGUUGAUCGCAGAGUUAAACACGUUCUAUCUCAAGUCCAUUCUGUGGAUCCCGCCGCCAAACUGGAUCAACUGGGCGCGGCUCGCCAUGUACGUCCCCGCCUCCGCCGUCGCCUUCAGGGAAACAUUCCAGUUCCUCGACGACCCCACAUGUAAAAAGUUUGGUCAGCAGGCGUGGAUUCUGGCGGCCAUCGUGAUCACCGAGCUGCUCAUUGUCAUGAAGUUCGACCUGAACCUGCUCCUGCUGCCCUUCCCCGAGCACAUCUGGCAGUGCUGGGUCGCUGCGUUCGUGGGCAUCGCAUCCUGGACUGUCUGGAGGUUCUUCAUCAGGUAAGGGUCACAGGUUAGAGGUGACAGGGUAAGGGUUACAGAACCUGCUCCUGCUGCCCUUCCCCGAGCACAUCUGGCAGUGCUGGGUCGCUGCGUUUGUGGGCAUCGCGUCAUGGACCAUCUCGAGGUUCUUCAUCAGGUAAGGGUCACAGGUUAGAGGUGACAGGUUAAGGGUUACAGAACCUGCUCCUUCUGCCCUUCCCCAAGCACAUCUGGCAGUGCUGGGUCGCCGCGUUCGUGGGCAUCGCAUCGUGGACCAUGUGGAGGUUCUUCAUCAGGAGAAACCAGAAGCCAGAAUCAGGGGACUGGAGCAAGCUGGCCCAGAAGUAGUCAUAGAAUACACCAGAAAGUGCCACAUAUAGACUGAAAGGAUCUGCCAUUUUGAGGUCAAGUUCAACAAGUAUCAAAUAUCGAGAUCAAGGUUCAAAGUGGAAAAAAGUCGAGGGUCAGAUGCU